UACGAAGGGAGCUAGCGUUGUUCGGAAUCACUGGGCGUAAAGCGCACGUAGGCGGAUGUGUCAGUCAGGGGGUGAAAUCCCGGAGCUCAACUUCGGAACUGCCUUUGAUGCAGCACAUCUGGAGUCCGGAAGAGGUGGGUGGAAUUCCUGGUGUAGCGGUGAAAUGCGCAGAUAUCAGGAAGAACACCCGUGGCGAAGGCGGCUCUCUGGUACGUGACUGACGCUGAGACGCGAAAGCGUGGGGAGCGAACAGG
rnacentral:rRNA from 1 species